CAGCAGCCGCGGUAAUACAGAGGGUGCGAGCGUUAAUCGGAUUUACUGGGCGUAAAGCGUGCGUAGGCGGCUUUUUAAGUCGGAUGUGAAAUCCCUGAGCUUAACUUAGGAAUUGCAUUCUAUACUGGGAAGCUAGAGUAUGGGAGAGGAUGGUAGAAUUCCAGGUGUAGCGGUGAAAUGCGUAGAGAUCUGGAGGAAUACCGAUGGCGAAGGCAGCCAUCUGGCCUAAUACUGACGCUGAGGUACGAAAGCAUGGGGAGCAAACAGGAUUAGAUACCCCAGUAGUCCCUGUCUCUUAUAU
rnacentral:rRNA from 1 species